rnacentral:rRNA from 1 species
GGUUAAGCGACUAAGCGUACACGGUGGAUGCCCUGGCAGUCAGAGGCGAUGAAGGACGUGCUAAUCUGCGAUAAGCGCCGGUAAGGUGAUAUGAACCGUUAUAACCGGCGAUUUCCGAAUGGGGAAACCCAGUGUGAUUCGUCACACUAUCAUUAACUGAAUCCAUAGGUUAAUGAGGCGAACCGGGGGAACUGAAACAUCUAAGUACCCCGAGGAAAAGAAAUCAACCGAGAUUCCCCCAGUAGCGGCGAGCGAACGGGGAGGAGCCCAGAGCCUGAAUCAGCAUGUGUGUUAGUGGAAGCGUCUGGAAAGGCGCGCGAUACAGGGUGACAGCCCCGUACACAAAAGCGCAUGUGCUGUGAGCUCGAUGAGUAGGGCGGGACACGUGGUAUCCUGUCUGAAUAUGGGGGGACCAUCCUCCAAGGCUAAAUACUCCUGACUGACCGAUAGUGAACCAGUACCGUGAGGGAAAGGCGAAAAGAACCCCGGCGAGGGGAGUGAAAAAGAACCUGAAACCGUGUACGUACAAGCAGUGGGAGCACAGGUUUACCUGUGUGACUGCGUACCUUUUGUAUAAUGGGUCAGCGACUUAUAUUCUGUAGCAAGGUUAACCGUAUAGGGGAGCCGUAGGGAAACCGAGUCUUAAC